AGGAAUAUUGGUCAAUGGACGAGAGUCUGAACCAGCCAAGUAGCGUGAAGGAUGACUGCCCUAUGGGUUGUAAACUUCUUUUAUACGGGAAUAAAGUUAGCCACGUGUGGCUUUUUGUAUGUACCGUAUGAAUAAGGAUCGGCUAACUCCGUGCCAGCAGCCGCGGUAAUACGGAGGAUCCGAGCGUUAUCCGGAUUUAUUGGGUUUAAAGGGAGCGUAGGCGGGUUGUUAAGUCAGUUGUGAAAGUUUGCGGCUCAACCGUAAAAUUGCAGUUGAUACUGGCGACCUUGAGUGCAACAGAGGUAGGCGGAAUUCGUGGUGUAGCGGUGAAAUGCUUAGAUAUCACGAAGAACUCCGAUUGCGAAGGCAGCUUACUGGAUUGUAACUGACGCUGAUGCUCGAAAGUGUGGGUAUCAAACAGGAUUAGAUACCCUGGUAGUCCACACAGUAAACGAUGAAUACUCGCUGUUGGCGAUAUACGGUCAGCGGCCAAGCGAAAGCAUUAAGUAUUCCACCUGGGGAGUACGCCGGCAACGGUGAAACUCAAAGGAAUUGACGGGGGCCCGCACAAGCGGAGGAACAUGUGGUUUAAUUCGAUGAUACGCGAGGAACCUUACCCGGGCUUAAAUUGCAACUGACUGAACCGGAAACGGUUCUUUCUUCGGACAGUUGUGAAGGUGCUGCAUGGUUGUCGUCAGCUCGUGCCGUGAGGUGUCGGCUUAAGUGCCAUAACGAGCGCAACCCUUAUCGAUAGUUACUAGCAGGUCAUGCUGAGGACUCUAUUGAGACUGCCGUCGUAAGAUGUGAGGAAGGUGGGGAUGACGUCAAAUCAGCACGGCCCUUACGUCCGGGGCUACACACGUGUUACAAUGGGGGGUACAGAAGGCAGCUACACGGCGACGUGGUGCUAAUCCCGAAAGCCUCUCUCAGUUCGGAUUGGAGUCUGCAACCCGACUCCAUGAAGCGGGAUUCGCUAGUAAUCGCGCAUCAGCCACGGCGCGGUGAAUACGUUCCCG
rnacentral:rRNA from 1 species